UUAAUUAAUGCUGCAAAAAUUAGCUCAAGGAGCAUGUAAUCUCUUACUCCACCACCACCCCCUCCCUUACCCCUCUCCCUCCGCCCUCCCUCCCUCUCUCUCGUUCUAAUCUCAGCCAUAUCCUCUCUCUCUCUCUCUCAGCCAUUCUCGAGGAGGGCCUGCAUCUUCUCCACAGAGACCACAGCAGCGUCUCUCACUCUCUUGCCACACCAGGAAAAUCCACCACAGUAGCGUGUCUCCCUCUCGCCACACAGGUGAUUGCAGGCAUAAAAUAUUGGUGAGUCGUCAGAGGAACGAUUGAACGAUAUCUCAGUUUGGCCUCUUGGCCUAUACAUAAAAUCUGGUUUGCAGCAUGAGCUUGGUUGGAAGCAUUGAUCUGCCCUAUUUUCGGGUCACUGUGAUGUAGUUAUCUAUUGUGCCCGGUUUGAUUGUGGUGUUUCCAAUGUAAUAUGUUUCUAUGCUUUUGUCAUUGGCAUGGUGAUUGGGUUUAGGGAGAAGUGGUCUAACUUAUAUUGUGCAGAAUGUUUUUUUGGUUUUUGGGGGACAAUUGGUGUGUUGCUUGUGUCUGAGAUGGACUCCUUGAUGUACAUUAUAGAGGGAAUUUUUUUAUGACAGUUUAUGGACAUUUGGUAGAAA